rnacentral:piRNA from 1 species
UACAGGUGAAUAUCGUGAGGAGAUAGG